AUACGGAGGGAGCAAGCGUUAUUCGGAAUCACUGGGCGUAAAGGACGCGUAGGCGGGUUGGCAAGUCAGAUGUGAAAUCCUACAGCUUAACUGUAGAACUGCAUUUGAAACUGCUAACCUAGAGUAUGGGAGGGGGAGAUGGAAUUAGUGGUGUAGGGGUAAAAUCCGUAGAUAUCACUAGGAAUACCGAAAGCGAAGGCGAUCUCCUGGAACAUAACUGACGCUAAGGCGUGAAAGCGUGGGGAGCAAACAGGAUUAGAUACCCUUGUAGUCC
rnacentral:rRNA from 1 species